rnacentral:tRNA from 1 species
AUUUAUAUAGUUUAUGCAAAACAUUAUAUUUUCAUUAUAAAGUUAAACCUAGUUUUAUAAAUA